AUCCCUUCUCGGCCUUUUGGCUAAGAUCAAGUGUAGUCUCUGUUCUGUUCUUAGCAGUUUACUAAAUUCCAUGUAACAGUAGGAUGCCCCAAACAUUAUCACCUCAACAUGUGAUCAAGUUUUAAAAUAAUACUAUUUCUAUAUUGUUUUUUUUUCCUCCUCCCGAGCCUUG
ensembl:snRNA U2 U2 spliceosomal RNA